rnacentral:rRNA from 1 species
GACGAACGCUGGCGGCGUGCUUAACACAUGCAAGUCGAACGGAAAGGCCCUGCUUUUGUGGGGUGCUCGAGUGGCGAACGGGUGAGUAACACGUGAGUAACCUGCCCUUGACUUUGGGAUAACUUCAGGAAACUGGGGCUAAUACAGGAUAGGAGCUACUGCUGCAUGGUGGGGGUGGGAAAGUUUCGGCGGUUGGGGAUGGACUCGCGGCUUAUCAGCUUGUUGGUGGGGUAGUGGCUUACCAAGGCUUUGACGGGUAGCCGGCCUGAGAGGGUGACCGGCCACAUUGGGACUGAGAUACGGCCCAGACUCCUACGGGAGGCAGCAGUGGGGAAUAUUGCACAAUGGGCGGAAGCCUGAUGCAGCAACGCCGCGUGCGGGAUGACGGCCUUCGGGUUGUAAACCGCUUUCGCCUGUGACGAAGCGUGAGUGACGGUAAUGGGUAAAGAAGCACCGGCUAACUACGUG